CGCCUGCCCUGUGACAAAGGUUCAACGGCCGCGGUAUUUUGACCGUGCAAAGGUAGCGCAAUCACUUGUCCUUUAAAUGAAGACCUGUAUGAAUGGCAUCACGAGGGCUUAGCUGUCUCCUUUUUCCAGUCAAUGAAAUUGAUCCCCCCGUGCAGAAGCGGGGAUAAGACCAUAAGACGAGAAGACCCUAUGAAGCUUUAGACACAAGACAGGCCUUGUUAAACACUUCAAAAUAAAGAAAUAAACUAAAAGAAUGCUGUUCCGAUGUCUUUGGUUGGGGCGACCACGGGGAAACAAAAAACCCCCAUGCGGACUGAGAAAACAAUUCUCACAACCAAGAGCCGCAGCUCUAAUUAACAGAACUUCUGACCUUUAGAUCCGGCAAUGCCGAUCCACGGACCGAGUUACUCUAGGGAUAACAGCGCAAUCCCCUUUUAGAGCUCCUAUCGACAAGGGGGUUUACGACCUCGAUGUUGGAUCAGGACGUCCUAAUGGUGCAGCAGUUAUUAAGGGUUCGUUUGUUCAACGAUUAAAGUCCU
rnacentral:rRNA from 1 species